GGGGUGGGGUGUGAUGUCAAAACUCGCCAGCACCUGCGGUCUCCGCUGUCUGGUUGGGGCUGGGAGUUGAAGGGCUUCUGACGGACACCCAUCUACCCUAUUUAUUAGGCUCCUGGUUGGGGCAGGCAGCCCCGUGCAGGGACCAGGGUGCGGCCAGGAGUAAGGGAGACCCAUGCCGGCCCUCAUGGAGCUCCCAAGUGCAAGUUUCACGUCUCAGCCGGAAGAGUCAAAAAGAGUCUCCGAGCACCUUAUUCACACCAGAGUGGUUCUACGAGACCCGUGAUUUUUCUGGAAGGAGGAAGGAGGAAAGAAGGUCUUGUCCAUUCUCUGCCCUACUACUUCCUUCCAUGCUGGGAGCUUACGGAGACAGAUCACGCAUGCCAGACUCUUCCAGAAGAAAGGUUCUAGGUCAGCAGUAGCCUGGUUACCAUUCCCACCAUGGAACUAGGGGACUGGAUGUCGGGUGGUCUGCGAUUCUCUUGGCCAUCCCAGUGCAGACCAGUGGACAGGAGCAGAAGCCCCCACUCCAGGACUGGAAUGAUGUGGUGCCAAGAAAGGACCGACUGGUAGUAAGGGGCCCUCUUGAGGCACUUGAGAAGGAGAUAGAAGGGAAGUUUGUUUUUCACAGUGGCCCCGGAUGUGGAAUUUGGACGAGCACAUAUGUACAGGUGAGUACUGGGACUGGGUGAGACAUGGUGCCACUCCUGCGGGAUUUCCUGAGGCUUCUAUUUCUUGAAAUAUAUCGCGACAUGGGGCACCUCCAUUUGCGUUACA